ACUUCAGUGUCUGUUUAUUACAACUGUAGAGACAAACUGUCUUCAAAGACAGCACCCUCCCUUUUUGAAAUGUUUAUUGUGACUAACUGACAUACAGGAUUUCUCUUGUACCUGAUUUAUCUGCUGAUGUGAUUUAACAGACGUGAGGAGCAGCUAUGAGUUUACCAGCAGGAUUUGUUGUCCUUCUUCUCUCUGUACAAGUGAUUCAGGGUCAGUAUGGCUGGAGAGUGACUUACACCUCUACUCAGAUCUGUGCCUUAAAAGGAUCACAGUGGAAAUAAGCUGCACCCUCACAUACCCAUCCAGA